CUAGGCAGGCGCCGCGUUGGAAUUCAAUAAAGAGCUUCGACCAGCCGGAAACCAGGGAGUAGGCAGUUUGGGUGCCAGGAAGGAAGGAUGGAAGAAAGCCAGACGGUUAUCCUGGCAUGUUUGUCAAACAAUCAUUAGGGACGUCAGUCGGCGUUGGGGCAUGUGAAACUGAAGCAGGAGCCCGGACAGAAGCAUGAAUGGAGGCGUUGGAAAACAUCACAAUCAGCUUUAGCAGCUCCCGUUUGAGGUUUGAGACACCUAACCAGAAUGGAUGGUUGAUAUUCGCAGGACACUAUCUGAGAAUUUAUAGCUGGAAAAGAUUCCUUAUCUGGAACAGAUGAUACAAACCAUUUUUAUUAUCUUUUCUUAAUAAGGUUGUGUGGUACUCCUUUCAUCAUUGUUUAAUAUCGGAUAUUACCAAUGGCAACUGUGGCCACAAACUCUUUUUCUUAAUUGGCCAAAAGCAUAGCCCAGUUGAAGCCACCAAACGAAGGCCACCUCCCUCCCUCCAAUCCUUGGAUAAUUCCAGUGCUCUGCUAUCCACAUUCAACAAAUUCCGCUGGCCUUGUUCCGGCUCGGGGAGGUCGGUCUCCGUCAUAGAAAAUGCAGAAAGGACCAGUGUACUGGGAGAAAGAGCAUCAAAAACAUGCAUAAAUCAUCAAAAGCAGCGCUGACAACUAAUGAAAAUAUGCAAAAAUUUAUAGCUCGGCGAAAUCGGCGGAAAAAAUUUUGUGGAUAAAGCGAAUCAAACAAAAAAUUCGUAAAAAGCUUGGGCACAAAAUAAAAGAAGGAAGGCUCUCCACUAUCCAAAAGGCAGAAAGAAUUAAUAUUGAAAAAAGUGCAGUCGAAAAAUAAAUUCAUUUGCUUUAUGCAUGCCCCACACGCAGCAGCAAAAAAGUGGAGACCGAGUGGCAAGUGGCAAGGACACAGACAGGAUAUGCGGUAGGAAUUUUAUGUGGCAGUUUAUUUUUGGACCCAGUAUCACUGGAACAGCAGCUUCCAGUUUGAAACUCCUCCAUGCACGAAAAGAAAUUCUUUUUUUCUAUGAAAAUUCUUUUUUGCAGACAACUUGGUCUAAUAAUUACAGGAACUUCUUAUUAUUUGGAAAAACAAUAGUUGGACUAAAAACUAAUUUUUUAUAUGAUCCUAUUCCAGUCUUAAACUUUAUUCUUUGAGUGUACCACUCCUUUUUCCUCGUAGGCAGGCUGCAGGACGAAGGACCCGGAAUGUGACACGCUGCGGCGACGAGGGGACAACGAAGCGGCCAUGUAUAAAAUUUUUCACAAUUGCAAUUUGUAAUAAAAACAUGGACUUUUUGCCAUUGUUGCAUGCGGCCACACCAUGCGGAGUGCACCGAAUUCAUAUAUGUAUGUCGGGGAAGUUACACGCGUGUAAAACCAUUUGCCGGGCGAUGAAAAAGACAGGAAGGAAAGGAACGGAACGGAACGGAAAAACCACCUCCACCAAGAUGCCACCAACCGGGCAGAGUGAGCUCCGGUGCGAUAGUGGCGGCGAUGGUCAGACGGAGAUAGGGUAGGCGGCGGGAUGCGACGCCCCUAUGGCUUUAUGCCAUUUUAAGUGCUCCACCCAUUUGGUAGCCAUAUCCAUAUCCACAUCCGAGUGACAACUAUUAAAGCGGUCCAAAGAGCAGCUCCACAAAUAAACAGAGCAUAAAAUA